UACGUAGGGUGCAGGCGUUAAUCGGAAUUACUGGGCGUAAAGCGUGCGCAGGCGGUUAUUUAAGUCAGGUGUGAAAGCUCGUGGCUCAACUGCGAGUCGGCCAUGGAUACUCCGAUGCUUGAGCACUGUAGAGGCAGGUGGAAUUCCGGGUGUAGCGGUGGAAUGCGUAGAGAUCCGGAAGAACACCGGUGGCGAAGGCGGCCUGCUGGGCAGUAGCUGACGCUGAGGCGCGACAGCGUGGGGAGCAAACAGG
rnacentral:rRNA from 1 species